rnacentral:rRNA from 1 species
UGGGGAAUAUUGGACAAUGGGCGAAAGCCUGAUCCAGCAAUGCCGCGUGAGUGAUGAAGGCCUUAGGGUUGUAAAGCUCUUUUACCGGGGAUGAUAAUGACAGUACCUGGAGAAUAAGCUCCGGCUAACUCCGUGCCAGCAGCCGCGGUAAUACGGAGGGAGCUAGCGUUGUUCGGAAUCACUGGGCGUAAAGCGCACGUAGGUGGAUAGUUAAGUUCGGGGUGAAAUCCCAGGGCUCAACCCUGGAACUGCCUCGGAUACUGGCUAUCUCGAGUCCGGAAGAGGUGAGUGGAAUUCCUAGUGUAGAGGUGAAAUUCGUAGAUAUUAGGAAGAACACCGGUGGCGAAGGCGGCUCACUGGUCCGGUACUGACACUGAGGUGCGAAAGCGUGGGGAGCAAACAGGAUUAGAUACCCCCGUAGUCCCUGAGCGGGCUGGCAAGGCGCAU